rnacentral:tRNA from 1 species
UCCUGUGUGGCUCAGUUGGUAGAGCAUGACCCUUGCAACGUCACGAUAAUGGGUUUGAUUCCCACUGGGG